rnacentral:lncRNA from 1 species
CCAAUAAUGCAAUCUCUUUCAUAUCCGCAGGCACAUGGAGUUAUUGCCAUGGUGUUAGGACAAGCUGAUUGUGUUAAAGCAUGUGACACGCCUAAUUUCAGAAACCAGAGGGGAAAUCGCCGCUCAUUAAAGUUCAAGCAACUUCCCGAGGAAAACAAGGAAGGAAUGUGCACAAAGGCUCUGCAGCAACCCGCGGUGCAAGUCCCAAUUAGACUCAAGACAGAAACAAACUCAGCAAUGAAUACAUAUGUAAAGAAUGAAUAGGAACUGAUCCUGGAUGCUUAGUGAAACCAGCUCUCUCUUCCCAUCAAAUGAGAAGCCUCUGUGUCUUCAAAUGAAAACCAAGGAAGCACACCCCAGAGUUGAAUACAACAAAAUAUCAGGCAAUGCCUUUGAAGAGCAAUUUUCUCUGCC